CCUUGUACACACCGCCCGUCACGCCAUGGGAGUGGAUUGCACCAGAAGUAGGUAGGUUAACCGCAAGGGGCCGCUUACCACGGUGUGUUUCAUGACUGGGGUG
rnacentral:rRNA from 1 species